GACGUAGGGCGCGAGCGUUGUCCGGAUUUAUUGGGCGUAAAGAGCUCGUAGGCGGUCUGUCGCGUCUGCUGUGAAAACCCGAGGCUCAACCUCGGGCCUGCAGUGGAUACGGGCAGACUAGAGUGCGGUAGGGGAGAAUGGAACUCCUGGUGUAGCGGUGGAAUGCGCAGAUAUCAGGAAGAACACCGAUGGCGAAGGCAGUUCUCUGGGCCGUAACUGACGCUGAGGAGCGAAAGCGUGGGGAGCGAACAGG
rnacentral:rRNA from 1 species